GUCUAGGGCACUAACAGUGUGUGAUUUGGGACACGACUGCUUCUGGUGGAGGCAAUUUCAACACGUUAGGCGAUAUUUAUUCGUGUAUGUGUGAAAGAGAGAGACAUGGCGGAGCAGGACGAGGACAGCGUCCACACUAAGCGCAGUAAGACGCUGAUCGUGAGACACCUGCCUGCGGACCUGAGCCGGGAGGAGAAGGAGGACCUGCUGGAGUACUUCGGUGCCUCGUCCGUGCGCGUGCUGUCCGAUAAAGGCCCUUUAAAACACACCGCCUUCGCUACGUUCUCCAGCGAGACCUCAGCCUCGAGGGCUCUGAGGAGACUCCAUCAGCUGAGGAUUCUGGGUCACACGCUGGUCGUGGAAUUCGCCAGAGAUCAAGAGAACGUCGUGGUCUUGAAGAGUCCUAAAGUUUCCGACAGGGCCGCCGAUGAUCCAAAUGAAAAGCAGAAGAAGGAGACUCAGCAGCCGAGCAUUCCUCUCAUCGACACCGGCAUCGCCCCGAGUCUCGGAUUAAAGUUCCCAGCAAAUCCCACGCUGAAGUAUUUAUACCCUCCUCCUUCGAGCUCCAUCCUGACGAACAUCACUCACACCCUCGUCAGCGUACCCAAGUUCUACGUUCAGGUUCUCCACCUGAUGAAUAAGAUGAACCUGCCGUGUCCGUUCGGACCUGUGACCACGCCUCCUCCAGCAUAUACACUGGCUCACGGCCCUCUGCCCCCCAUGGUGCCCCCGCCUCCUGCGUUUCCCCUGGAGAACCCACCGCUACCUAAGGGCACGGGCGAUGAAGAUGAGGAGUCAGAGUACGAGAGCGAAGAUGACGAAGAGAGAGAGAGGAUGAUCAGGUUGAUGGGUCUCGUUAACCAGCCGUGCAAACGGCCUCUGAGAACAAAAACACCGGUCAAGAGAAAGAAACCCAAACUGAAGGACCUGUUUACACCAAAACCCGAACCACACAGUGCUCCAGGUCCCACUCUGAGGCCCUCUGAUGUAUUUGAGCAGCCGCUCCAGCUAGGACCCAAGAAGAUCGAGUUCCACAUCCCGGCUGAGACAGUCGUGAUGGCACAAGAGGAAAAGGAGGACAAGGAGCAGGAGACGAAGGAGGAGGAGGAGGAUGAGGAGCAGGAGGAGACUCUGCAGGAAGCAGCAGACUCGGCUGAGCAGGAAGUGGGAGGGUCAGGAUUUGGGAAGCUGUAUCCCAGCACACAGAGCUGCAGAGAGGAGGAGAGCGGGGAGGAAGAGGAUGAAAUCCCCUCUGAGUUCAUCUCCCGGAGAGAGCUGGAGAGAGGACGACUCUCCAGAGACGAGAUGAAGAGGAUGUCCGUGUUUAAGAACUACGAACCCGGAGAACCUACGUGCAGGCUUUACGUAAAGAACAUCGCCAAACAAGUGGAAGAAAAAGACCUGAAGUAUAUCUACAGCAGGUACAUCGACACCUCAUCAGAAGACGAGAGGAACAGAUUUGAUAUUGUAUUAAUGAAAGAGGGAAGAAUGAAAGGUCAAGCCUUCAUCGGUCUCCCCAGUGAGAAAAGUGCAGAGAAGGCCUUGAGGGAUACGAACGGAUACGUCCUACACGACAAGCCCCUAGUGGUUCAAUUCGCUCGAUCGGCAAAACCUAAACAGGACCCGACCGGUCCGAAGACUGGAGCCAGAAAACACUAAGUGGGAUUUUGAAGUCACAUCAGUCUCAGCUCUGCAGUACUCUGUGUGUAUCCUUAAUCCUGCAUAUCCUUUCAUAGGCUGACUGGAAACAGUUAUUAUUAUUAUUAUUAUUAUUAUUAAUGUUAAUGUUAUUAUACAAUGUAAUGAUUUAGGUUAAGUGAAGAACGUUCCUUGUUGUUUUGAGCUCCAUGCUCUCUCGCUUGUGAUUUCAGCUCCCAGGUGAAGAACCUCCUCCUCUUCCUCCUCAGUGUCCUCACCAGAGGUUCAUCUCUCUGUCUCUCUCAGAUUCCGUACCAAUUCACUGAUAGGGGAGGGGCUGCUGUGAGGCUGGGGUUGGACAGUAGAGACACUGUGAUAUGGUGUUGUCAACACCUUCAAAUCUUAUGUGAAGAUCUGCGCAGACGUCAUCAUCCAUCACACAUGUGCAUCAGACGCAGGGGAGGACCAGCCCCUCGACCCGCGGCUCAUACUUCACUGCCAGCCGAGAGGAGUUCCCAUCUGUGCCCUAUUCCUCUUCCGACUUCAACCAUGACAAAUGCACCAGCGGCGGCGGAAAUAUUGAGAAUUACCGAGACAUUUAUCAGCUAUAAUUUCAGCAACAAUGACAAAUCGCCGGUUGGGAAUGUCAUCGGACAGCGGCGUAAAUAGGUUUGCUUCACUACAUAAACCCUGCAUAUGAAUUUCCUCUCAGAUGUUUCCGCAGGUGUGAAACUGCCAGCUGGUCGCCCUCCCUGACCCAGCGUUGAAGAAAGAGAAUGUUCACGGGGGAGACGUACUUUACAUGAACUGGCCAUUGGAUGUCGUCGUGGCUCUGGUGUCCAUGUUCGUACUUAUAAGCACAAGAGACAUAAUAAUCUCAACACCUACUGGUGCAGGAUUCUUAAUGAUUGAGAAGUGCAAAAAAGCUUAAUGUUAUCAUUAACAAACAGCUAAUAGUAAUAAUAAACCAAUUAAAACACACAUGAAGCAGAUAAUUAUUUAAAUAAAUGUUAAGAUUGAGAUACAACA